UAUAAAUCGAUGACAAAGAGAGUACGUAUCGCAAUGUGCGCAUCAGCGAGCUGGGAUAGUGAGAGCCAGUACGUUACAGCAAUACCGAAGUGGACUUUGGAGAGACCUUUUGAACCUAAGUAGGAAGGUACGGCUCGCGCCCGUUAAUGCGCACUAAGAGGAAGUGGCAACACUUCAACUAAAGGUGGUACCGCGGCUUAUUCCGUCCUUUCG
rnacentral:ncRNA from 2 species